AUUGAACGCUGGCGGCAGGCCUAACACAUGCAAGUCGAACGAGUGGCGGACGGGUGAGUAAUGUCUGGGAAACUGCCUGAUGGAGGGGGAUAACUACUGGAAAAGGUAGCUAAUAGCGCAUACCAUCAUAUGUGCCCAGAUGGGCUUAGGUAGUUGUGGGGGUAACGGCUCACACAGGAGACGAUCCCUAGCUGGUCUGAGAGGAUGACCAGCCACACUGGACCGGAGACACGGCCCAGACUCCUACGGUAGGCAGCAGUGGGGAAUAUUGCACAAUGGGCGCAAGCCUGAUGCAGCCAUGCCGCGUGUAUGAAGAAGGCCUUCGGUUUGUAAAGUACUUUCAGCGGGGAGGCGUUACCCGCAGAAGAAGCACCGGCUAACUCCGUGCCAGCAGCCGCGGUAAUAC
rnacentral:rRNA from 1 species